rnacentral:lncRNA from 1 species
GUGUCGCCGACAUGUCACUUUUUAUCAGAACUCAUAGUUUUAAAUUGCCUCUCGUACAUUAAACGGACACGUCGCAAACGAGCCAGUACUUGUCUGCGACACUGCUUGCUGUGUUUUCAAGUGACAUUUGUCGUUUGUUCAAUACGGUGAACGUGUGUGUGCAGCGAAAAUAUAAAGGAAGACCCUAAUUUUAAUAUUAAAUUUGUGGAAGCUGUUGAAAAGUACAGGGUAUUAUAUGAUUACACUUUAAGCGUUGAAUAUUCAAAGAGACACUUUCAGGAAAAAACAUGGAAUGAAGUUGAAAAGGGAUUUAAUGAAACAGGUGCAGCCUGCAAAGAAAAAUGGAAAAAUAUUCGAUCCGCCUAUGACACUUAAGACAAAAGCCUCCAUCUGGUUCUGCAGCAAAACCUAAGAAAACCUAUUAUUUGGCUAAAUAUUUGCAUUUUCUUAUAGCUUUUUUCCAAAUCUAGAAGUCAACAGAGUAAUAUUCCUUUACAACAACUAGUAGAAGAUGAAGAUAAGGAUAGCAGUUCUAGCGAUGUUAAUGAAGUUGCCAGCGACAAUUUGGAUCAAUGUUCUGCAACAAAUAAAACCGAAAUAGUGGCAAAUAAAAAUGUUGAAAAUAUUGAAGAACCUAUUUUUAAAAAACAGAAAACCCUAGCUAAAUUUCAUAAUUAUACUAAAACCCAAAAACUGAGACAAGCAAAAUUGGAUCCAUUGGAGAAAUGCGCUAUAGAUUAUUUCGAUUAUAAAAAUACUACAAAAGAAAUCGACGAUCCGGAUUUGCAAUUUUUAAAAAGCCUUUUUGCGGAUAUACACAGAAUGAACCAUACUCAGAAGCAUCAGUUUAAAAUGCGAACCAUGCAAGCAAUAGGUGAUAUAAUAUAUCCAUCAGAGCCACAAACACGUUCUUUUGAAGCCGUUAAUAUAUCACAUACACAAUCAUCAGACAUCCUCAAGAAACCUAUCCCAGAUUUCCACAAGAUGGUUCCGAUCGACUACUGUCAAAGAGCUCCUCGACACGUACUGAGUCCCCGCAGUACAUUCAAUUAACAGCACCAUCUUAUUCGAGAAAUGUAAAUAUACCACUACUGAUUUCACCCAAUCAAUCAAUAACACCAUGUUCAUAUUCAACCAUUUCAAGUGCUCCAUCACCAUUAAUAUCUCCAAACGAUGACGAUUAUUGAUUUUCUACUUGCAGUUAAUACUACUAAGUUUAUUGUUACAAUGUUGUUUACAGGUUAGUUUAUCCCCGUCAAUUACUUUCUGUGUAAUAAAGAAAUAAUUUUUUACUUAC